rnacentral:rRNA from 1 species
AUUGAACGCUGGCGGCAGGCCUAACACAUGCAAGUCGAGCGGAUGAAGGGAGCUUGCUCCUGGAUUCAGCGGCGGACGGGUGAGUAAUGCCUAGGAAUCUGCCUGGUAGUGGGGGAUAACGUCCGGAAACGGGCGCUAAUACCGCAUACGCCCUGAGGGAGAAAGUGGGGGAGCUUCGGACCUCACGCUAUCAGAUGAGCCUAGGUCGGAUUAGCUAGUUGGUGGGGUAAAGGCCUACCAAGGCGACGAUCCGUAACUGGUCUGAGAGGAUGAUCAGUCACACUGGAACUGAGACACGGUCCAGACUCCUACGGGAGGCAGCAGUGGGGAAUAUUGGACAAUGGGCGAAAGCCUGAUCCAGCCAUGCCGCGUGUGUGAAGAAGGUCUUCGGAUUGUAAAGCACUUUAAGUUGGGAAGAAGGGCAGUAAGUUAAUACCUUGCUGUUUUGACGUUACCAACAGAAUAAGCACCGGCUAACUUCGUG